GGCAGUGUUGUGUAGUGGUUUGAGUACUGAACUACAACUCCAGAGACCAGGGUUCAAAUCCCCUUUCAGCCA